rnacentral:miRNA from 1 species
UCGAACUUUCAGGAAUAGUAUC